rnacentral:rRNA from 1 species
CCUACGGGAGUCAGCAGUGGGGAAUAUUGGGCAAUGGGCGCAAGCCUGACCCAGCAACGCCGCGUGAAGGAAGAAGGCUUUCGGGUUGUAAACUUCUUUUCUGAGGGACGAAGAAAGUGACGGUACCUCAGGAAUAAGCCACGGCUAACUUCGGGCCAGCCGCCGAGGUAAUACGUAGGUGGCAACCGUUAUUCGGAAUUAUUGGGUGUAAAGGGCGUGUAGGCGGGAAAGCAAGUCAGAUGUGAAAACUCCGGGCUCAACCCUGAGCCAGCAUUUGAAACUGUUUUUCUUGAGUGCUGGAGAGGCAAUCGGAAUUCCGUGUGUAGCGGUGAAAUGCGUAGAUAUACGGAGGAACACCAGUGGCGAAGGCGGAUUGCUGGACAGUAACUGACGCUGAGGCGCGAAAGCGUGGGGAGCAAACAGGAUUAGAUACCCGAGUAGUC